rnacentral:rRNA from 1 species
AACGAACGCUGGCGGCGCGCCUAAUACAUGCAAGUCGAACGAGAAGCUGUAGCAAUACAGUUGUACAGUGGCGAACGGGUGAGGAAUACAUGGGUGACCUACCCUCGAGUGGGGAAUAACCAGCCGAAAGGUUGGCUAAUACCGCGUACGCUUCCCAGUCUACGGGUUGGGAAGGAAAGCGAUGCCGUGGGUAUCGCGCUCAAGGUUGGGCUCAUGUCCUAUCAGCUUGGGUUGGGGUAACGGCUCACCAAGACAACGACGGGUAGCUGGUCUGAGAGGACGAUCAGCCACACUGGCACUGCGACACGGGCCAGACUCCUACGGGAGGCAGCAGUAAGGAAUAUUGCGCAAAUGGGCGAAAAGCCUGACGCAGCGACGCCCGCGGUGGGGGAGU